GGUAUAGUACUUUAACAAAAAGGAUCGAUUUGCAUUCGGUUAUUGGGUUUUCGCCCUUAUACUU
rnacentral:tRNA from 1 species